rnacentral:lncRNA from 7 species
UCACCGCCGGCUAGGCCCACUUGGCUGGUUGUCAUCAACACCAGAGUUGGCGGAGCUCGCAACCACCUUCGUUGAUGUUGUCAGAGCACUAGGUCAGCCCCAGAUGGGUUCUUUGCUUCGUCCAUGGGAUAUAAACCCCCCAAACCAUCGUACUCCUAACUCCUCCAUUCGAAUCACACCCAGGAACAUCGAGAGUCACGGUGAGGUCACCGUGCAGUGAGGGUAUUGGGCCGUCGGAGUCACAUCGCGUAUUCUGUGUCAUCAAGUUGUCAAACUCAGGAUUGUGAGCUUCGUCGUGUCAUGAGGAAAUCGUCUGUGGCCUCGUCGGGCGGAGCAAUCAAUUGAGGAUCCCGAAAUUUCUCACCGGAGUCGUAGACUCGCGGUGGUGCCACUCGUCGCCGCGGACCAGGCCAUCCCCUGCGUCAAUUAACGACGAGCAAGCAACCGAGGAGACAGGUGCUCAGCAGGUGGAAAAUACUGAGCA